AGCUUUGAGCAGUGGUAGCAUGGUCGCCUCUGAGGUUUAACUAAGGCACGAUGGUUACUGAUUGAAAACAUGAGACCAGAUUCCAGCCCCACCUCCCCCCAGUGGCAGGCUGAGGCU
rnacentral:snRNA from 1 species